rnacentral:rRNA from 1 species
UACGGGGGGGGCAAGCGUUGUUCGGAAUUACUGGGCGUAAAGGGCUCGUAGGUGGCCAACUAAGUCAGACGUGAAAUCCCUCGGCUUAACCGGGGAACUGCGUCUGAUACUGGAUGGCUUGAGUUCGGGAGAGGGAUGCGGAAUUCCAGGUGUAGCGGUGAAAUGCGUAGAUAUCAUUUGGAACGCCAAUGGUGAAAACAGGUAGCUGGGGGUGUGCUGACACUGAGACACGAAAGCCAGGGGAGCAAACGGG